rnacentral:rRNA from 1 species
UACGAAGGGAGCGAGCGUUGUUCGGAAUUACUGGGCGUAAAGCGUGCGCAGGCGGUGAUGUAAGACCGAUGUGAAAUCCCCGGGCUUAACCUGGGAACUGCAUUGGUGACUGCAUUGCUGGAGUAUGGCAGAGGGGGGUGGAAUUCCACGUGUAGCAGUGAAAUGCGUAGAGAUGUGGAGGAACACCGAUGGCGAAGGCAGCCCCCUGGGCCAAUACUGACGCUCAUGCACGAAAGCGUGGGGAGCAAACAGG